AGCAAAACAGCGACACGUCAGAGCCAAACUACUGUCUAUGGAAACUACAUCCGCGUCAGAAACAAACACCACCAUAUUAGCCAUAGAUAUAUACAUAUUAGCAGCUAACGUUAGCAUGUCAGCUAAUGUGUUGACAGCAUAGACUGUUCGUAUUAACAGGCGACUUCUGAAGCUAGCACGCCAUGGUAGCUAGCUAAUUUACUAGGCAGCGUCGAACGUCUCCUUCAGAAAUCCAACACAAAGUUGUGUAUGCAGGGAGGGAAACCGCUGCCCUCCACAGUCGGCAGCGUGUAUAUAUCUAUGAGUCGUCAGGAGCCGAGUGUGUCCUCCGUACCAGGCUGAUACAGAUGUCCGCUCCUCCUCCCGAAGAUUUGGUCAAACACUGGGAGAGCGAGCAGGCCCGUCUCAGACAGCAGGUGGUGGAGGAGGACACUGAGGAGUGGCAGACUAGUCCAGACUUCUCUGGCCUGGAGAGAGUCGGAGGAGUGGACCUGUCCUUCAUCAAAGGGGACGAUGUCAACGCCUGCGCCCAGCUCGUGGUACUCAGCUACCCGGACCUGGAGGUGCUGUAUGAGGACAGUCAGAUGGUGACCCUGACGGCCCCCUACAUAGCUGGCUUCCUGGCCUUCAGAGAAACCCCCUUCCUCCUGGAGGCUCUGCAGCGACUGAAGAGGAACCAGCCCCGACUUCUGCCUCAGGUGGUGUUUGUCGAUGGGAAUGGUCUCUUCCACUACAGAGAGUUCGGCCUGGCGUGUCAUCUCGGAGUGCUGUCCGGGCUGCCGUGUGUGGGCGUGGCCAAGAACCUGCUGCAGGUGCAGGGCGUAUACAAGAGUGAAGAACACCAGUCACAGAUAGCUGCUCUGCAGAAAGGAGGAGACAGCUUCCCGCUCGCAGCCGCCUCGGGCAAAGUGCUUGGAAAGGCAUUGCGAAGCUCCGACAAGAGCUCUAAGCCGGUGUACGUGUCCAUUGGCCAUAAGAUCAGUGUGGACACAGCUGUACACCUCACACACUCCUGCUGCCGCUACCGGGUCCCAGAGCCCAUCAGACAGGCCGACUUUCGCUCCAGAGAAUACCUUCGCACACACUUCCCAGCUGCUGACACAUGAAACAAGGAAUGAGCCUGGACCAAAUGGGUGGACUGGCAGACAUUGCCCUCCUUAGAGCCAUGCUUUAAAAUAAAGACAGAAGAUUUCAAACAAGGUUGCAGAUGCAGCGAAGGAUCUCAACAUUUUGAAAUUUGACAUUCUGAAGACCAGCAACUACAGAAGACCACUAAAAAGUGUGUGUGUGUGUGUGUGUGCGUGUGCGUGUGUGUGUGGUAACUUUGAUUGCUUUUUGAGUGCUUUUAAAAGUGCAGCUGUUUUAGUCUGGGCCAAGACACAAGUCGCAUUAACUGUAUCUUUUUAUGCACUCGCUCCAUAUUUAAACUGAAUAUGGGUCAGAUUGGCUCUUUUUAAACACUGUUCUAAUUACAUUUUUGGGUCACUCGGCUUUUUAAACUGGGAGCCUCGUCAAUAAAUUAUAAAAAAAUGUCCCUGAUCUGCUUCAGAGUGCUGAUCAUCUGCUAAUAUCUCUUGGUUGUGUGAAACUGUGCUCAAUGGUAAAUUCUACAGUGAGCUGUAUGGGAACAGCAAACGGUAUCACACACACACACACACACACACACACACACACACACACACACACACACACACACACACACACACACACACACAGUCCCAGUUUAUAUGGUGUAUAAUGUGUCUCUCUUUAAAUGAGUCAGACUUGGCAGAGGGCACCGCUGUGCCAGGCCGGUCCCAGCGAGGCGAGCGGAAAAGAAGGGCAGGGGGAAGGGGGCUGACUCUGCAGGGAUGGGGGCCAGAAAUAGAAGUGGUCAGAUAGGGCGGUAUUGAUCAGCAGGAGGGGUCAGAAGAUCAGCUGGUGGAGACCGCAGACUGGCCCCACGUCAGAGGGAUGUACAGCGUGUAGGUACAUACUUUAGAUACAAUACAGCAUGGACAGAUUGUGGCCUUUAAGGCAGCAGGAGAGGUUAUUACAUGCUGCUGAAAUCACAUACU